UAAAACACCAAAAUUUUCGGAGAAACAAAGAGAGUGAAGGAAAUGGCGUCGAGCUUAAGGACAGCCCGGUUUGAAUGAGUCAUCGAGAAUAAGGCUAUAUCUGCGAGUAAAGACGGAGUGAGGAAAAAUCAAUUUAAGGAGUUUUAAGCGGACGAGGUUGAGCAGUGAUGACGGCGGGCGGUGUUGAGCAUAGACGAUGAAGAUCCUUCGAUAGAAUAGUACUUGGAUGCGCCGUGUCUCUAUACACGAUGUCAUCUGCUCUUGACUCUUCCGCUGCAAUGUAAAAGUCGAGAUUUCAUUCUCUUGUACCAUGCACUCUGAUUUUUAUAUAUUUCAAGUUAUUUCAGUUCAA